UGGAAAGUAAGACUGCUAAACUCUAGUGGCAUGGUAUGGUUAAAUGAAGGCUGGAACAAAUUCAAGGAGUACUAUUCAAUUGGUUGUGGUUACUUUUUACUCUUCAGAUACAAAGGAAAUUCCCAGUUCUGUGUGUUUAUAUUUGAUUUAAGUGCUUCUGAGAUUGAAUAUCCUCCUGGCCCAAAUGAAGAUAUGACACCAGAAAAUCGAUCUGUUCUGUGCGUGCCACUAGAGGAAAACGGGAUAAACUUACCCCCACCCGGAGA
rnacentral:misc_RNA from 1 species